CUCUCCUUCAUCUAGGUUUCAACAACUUCUCCUCUAAAAUCGCUGCAGAUUCCUUCCUUCCUCUCUACCCGGAAAAAGCUGCCCUCGAUUCCACACGGCCGUCGUUUCCCCUACUGUUCUUGCAUGACCCGAAGAGCAGAUUUUGUCGUGCUCUACUCUUCUUAUUAUAGGCGACGCUGCUCGAGUGCUUUUGUGGGCAACUCGCCAAUGGUCCAUCAGAUCGUUCUUAUUAAGACAUCCAGGUGGUGGCGACAGGCGAGUAACUCAUGCUACACUGCUACGUCGCACGAUGCACAGGUUACUGGAUAGGAUGUUCGCUGCUGGAAGAGAACCGGCGGCUGGAAGAAACGAACCUAUGGAUGGCAUUAACAGGUGAUGAUGGAAGGAUGGGAAGUGACAUAGCAAGAGAAAAGAAGCAGGCUUCAUGUGCAACGCUGUUGAACUGACUAUCAUGUAGAAGUCGCUUCCUCUAUCCUUUACUUUCUCCCAUGUUCUUUGCAUGCAUAAUAUCUGUGCACAUAUAUGAACCAUCGUUCAUGCAUAUGAAUCAAUUUCUUAGAUUCACCUUUUUAUGAACUGAAAGAACGUACAAGUUUCAAAGUAGAAAAUAAUCAAUAUAUCAAGAUUUAGUUUUCUUAUGAAUACCAGAUCGAUAAAUGUUGUGUGAGCAAUUAAGGUUUACAUUUUCUCAUUUAAGGAAGCAUUCAGUUGAUAGGCCUAUGUGC